CAACCUUUCCUUUCCCCUUCUCGGCCCAUGCUAAAUUAAUCAUAUUUACUGGGGCCUCUGAAAAGGGAUCUGCAUGAUUGUCCACCAUUGCUUCGACUUGCCCCUGAUCUUUCUGUAAGAAUAUUAAUGGGCUAGGUGGAUUUUUUACCAAGGUCAUUUCUUCAUCUGGCUGGCUGGCCUUAAGCUUUUUUCUUUCUUCUUCCCCAUCAUCUUUUUCCUCAAGUAGAGGUAAAGAUAUGGGAAUAGUUGAUCCCAUAACCAGGUUUGUUUUCCUUCUGAAGCCUGCGGAGGAUUUUUCCAAUCUUUGCAACAUUUGCAACAAGGUAGUUUGCAAGUCAUCAUUAAUUAUUUUUUCUGGAACAGCCGGCCUUUUUAAAUCUUCAGGUAUUUUUGACAUAUUUCUUUGACAAGUAAGAUUUGAUCAAGAGAUCCCACCGGGCGUGCCAAAACUAUGUUCGUCUGGAGGAAUUUUCGAUAGGGUCGUUUUCUGGCCGACAAGCACACAGCUCCCCAAGAGGUUGGCGCUGGUUGAUAUUGUAUGUCGGGCUUCUGCUUAUUGGCAAGCUGUAAGAGAAGGACAGAGUUAAUUCUGAAAUGUGCCUUUGUGGGGCCUUAGGUGUAGGCCUUGAGGCUCACAAUCAAAAUUAAUUUUAGGUAUUCAGACGUGUCAUUGCCAUCUUUAGCAUGACAUAUGUAAAAUAGAUGUUUAGUUUUAAUUGUAUAUGCCCAAGAGACCAAGUUAGCUAUGAAAUGUGCAUUUGUAGGGUCUUAGGUGUAGGCCUUAAGGCUCGCAAUCAAAACUAACCAAGUACUUGAACAUAUAGUGGUUGGUUCAUUGUUGCAGAAGUAUUACAAUUGUUAUACUUUAAUCACUUGAGCCCAAAGAGCAGAACGAACCCAGAUAGGUGCCUUUGUAGAGCCUUAAGUAUAGGCUUUGAGGCUUCCCAUCAGAAUUAAUUCUAUACUCAAGCGUUCUGUGGCAAUCAUAAUAUAACAGAAGUAAAAUUAAGAAAUAGGCUGAUUACUUACGCCCUAAGUAACUUCGGACUUCUUGUUAUCAAGGAUUGUCGUGGAUGGGUUAAGUCCACAUAAAGUUCUUUUUUAUGCCUUGAGACCAAAGACUUUUGAUUGAUAAAUCUUGUAUGCCCGAAAGGUUAGAACUUAGAUCUGGUCAAGCUAUGAAUGCGGAUUCCAACUUUAUCUUUUGCAUGGUUGGGCACCAUUAAACCGACCAGAUCCAAAAACCAAGAAGCCUUUUAAUCAUAAACUUGCUAGAAAUAACUUGGAUACAGAUGGAAAUAUACAUCAUAUUACUAGAUUUAUGAAUGAAAAGACAGAACAAAGAUGGUCGGGCAAGGCUGAUCGUCUUGCAACUUUCUCUCUUUGUGAUUUACAAAGGGUUUGAGUGCUAGAAGGGGAGAUUGGGAGAUGAGUUUACAGGAGGGAAUCGAUACUACAACAAGAUUCAAACAAGGUGACAGAGCUUUUACAAAGGCUUUUGGUGAGGGUUGAUCCUGAAAAUGAUGAAGGCUUGGUGCUAAUUACAGCUUCGUAUGCAAAUCUGGCUUGAGCAGAGUUUGUGUAUUUUUUUGUUUGAUUGAGUGUCCUUAUCUCUGAUUUCUCUUUCCCUUUUUAUAGAUGAUUUGGCUUGGCUGCCUGCAGCAUCGAUCUUGCCCGAAUGCGGCUGAAGGGUAGUGACUCAUCAACUUUUUACUUGUACUGCCAUUGUAAAACACUUUUGGGCUGAUUAGCUGGCUAGUCUACACCACUUGACUUCUAGGUAGGUGAGCAAGUGGCUCAAGUGAUCUACACUUAGUCGGGAAGAGGGCUUCUUUCGCCUUCUGGGCUUCGGCUGAGCCUUGGGCUUCCUUCCUUCUAUACCUUCUUCUGGGCUAACUCCCUUUUGAGCCCAAAGUUCCAGUUUUAACCCAAACAGCUGGGAAUGGAGAUGGAGCUGAAAUUGAUGUAUUACCUCGCCCUGGUAGCUGUUGGAGUCAGUGUAUUGCUCGAGUGGUAUGGAUGGAGGGGAGGGUGGACGUGGGUAGAUAUUAGAUAAUUAUGCGUUUCUUUUUGCUUUGUUGUACCUGUGUUGUUGCUGCAUUCUGGAAUUUGAACUAGUUAAGGGCUUUGAGUCCGAAUGGGGUAAGUAGCAGCUCUUCUAGCUCUCUAUUAUAUAUGAUUUUGUAUGUAAAUUUUCAGUGCGAACAAAAGACCAAUCAUUAGAGUAAAUUUUCUCACAACCAAAGAGAGAGUGAGAGACGAGGGAAUGAGUCUUCCGGUGCAAGGGUGAAUGCCCUUAACAACUGAACUAUAUAUAAUAGCCUUUUGCACCCAAGAUCUCAUUUUAACUAGUGAAUCAUUAACAUGAGACUGGUUGGCACGUUUAAUUACGUAUGUUCAUCAAAGAUGUGUAGAGGGGGUCAUGGUGGCAUGCGUUGUGCUUCGCUUGUAUCUAGGAGGUUUGCAAGCAAAAUAUAUUGGCUCAUUACAUGGAAGGAUCGUUUUCGUCUUAUCGACAAAUAACAAUUUGACACAUGCAUGAAAGCUUUUGUCAUGUUCAUUUUCAUUUUUCUUUUGUCAAAUAUAAGGGAAAAUUGCCAAACUGAAAACAUUAAGCAAUUCAAACUCCUCUAGGCUAAGAUGAUCUAGUUCAACAAUUUUUUAAUUUAUUUGGGAUGUUCUACUAUAGGAAUUCAGUUAAUUAGACUUGCUUCUUCGUUAAUUAAUUCGUCUCAAAGAAACAAAAAUGUGUGCUUGAUCCAAUAGAAUUAGGUGUGGCAAAUUUGGGUAAAAAUUGUUAUGUUGUUUUAGAGGAAAAUAAUUUAAGAGAGUGAGAGAAUUCUAUUCGAGAGUUUCAUAGUAGUGUGUUACAAAUGUGAGGCAUAGCCACCUUUAUAUAGUGGUGUGGCUAUCCUAGAAAAUUACAAAAAUAACCCUAAUUCAAUAGAAAGAAUCAAUUGACUAACAUUACAACAAUUAUACCAAUUAGUGGACAAAAAUAAAUAUCAUGCGACUUAUACCAAUUAGUGGAAGUACAUAAAUAUCUUGCAACAUAUGUCAACUAAAUUAGAUUAAUUAAUUUUAAUUUGUGGUACUCUUCUCUUCCACCUUUGGAAUAAGAAACAAUGAAAUGUCUCAUGUGCAUCUGGUGAGAAUUUAAAUAACAUAUAUAUUUAUUUUAUUUAGUAAUGUUGACGAUAUUACAAUAAUUUGUGUAAUAACUGAAGAUAUUCAUGCCCAGCAAAUCGGCACGAAGAAGAAUAUUAUUCAUAAAUUAGAUACACGUAGAACAAAUUUGGUAAUGUCUAGCAAAUAAGAUUAGCAGUAAUCAAUGUUGAUAAUUCCUGCCACCGGGUUAGCAAUUUUGGCGAAAGCCGGUUGAGAGAGGUCAAGUGUGGAUUGACAUCCAGGACAAUGAUCAACGAUCUUUACUCUAACCGUCGAGUUGGUGCAUGGAUGUGGAACUGGAUUUCGAGAUCCAGUGCAUUUGACGUUAUAAAACUUUCCACAUCCAGCACCAUUGUUCCAUAUGGCAUCACCUGCAGCAGCGAUCAAAAUGCCUUGUGGUGUAUUCCCGUAGCAUGCUGAGGCUGUAAAAACAAAAAAGAUAUCCACCUUUGAUCAAUUUUCCUUAAAAAGGUCGAAUAUUGUUAGUUCUACCUAUAUACAGUUUAUGAAAAGGACAUUUCGUUAAUUAUAUUUAGUUCGUGUUAUGUCAUAUUUAUAUACAAUGUUUUCUUCGUCUCCAGAAGCUCAAUAUAGUGGUUCAAAGAAAAAAGAAGAGUGAAGAAGAAAGCAAGCUAACGAAUAUAGCUUGAGUAGAAAGUAGCAAUUCCUGGUGUGCCUACUGAUGCCCAGAUAAAGCUUGCAACAAUGCAUAACACAACUAAAAUGUUCUUCGGCAUUUGUUCUUCUCUCUUACGUUGUCAAAACUCAGAUAAAUAUUAUAACUUUAUUCUUUUCAAAAGAGUUCAUGCGUACUAUAAUACGUUGGUAUGGUCACAUCCCUUUAUAUAAUGGAUUGUAUAUUAAUACAAUACAUGAAUGCUAGGCAUUUCUUCAAUCGAACAAUGUAUUUGUACCAGAAUUUUUAUUGGAUGAGAUGUACAUAUACCACAAGUUUUGGAAGGACAAAAGUUUAAGGUAUUCAAAUUAAUGUAAUUCAAUAUUCUAGAAAUACCAUUUAUUUACUUUUUAAUAAUAUCCUUUAUAUUGGUUGCUUUCCAUUUCAAGUUUUUGAGGCUCCCAUUUUUGGUAAUCUUUAAACCUUUGAAUGAAGAUAAUGAUGAUUUAAAAAUAAAAAAUGAAGGAAUUUUCUAUUUUCAAAUUAAAGUGUUUAACCAAUUUACGUAAGUAAACUUUAAAAUUUUGUAGAGAGACGAGUGAUAUGAUAUUAUUAGUUAUGAAUUUUUAUAUUCGAUUGAUGUGAAAAUUAGAAUCAAUAUCUAAUCUAGCAAAAAAUAAAUUAAUUACCAUAAAGAAGCCAGAGAUGUUGGACCAAAUAACCGGUCACAUAUGAGGAUAUGAAAAAUGGCAAUCUCUCAAAAUUUGAAAGUGGGUGUUACAAAUCACCUUACGCGAAUUAGCGAUAAAGAAACUAGAGAUAGGAAAAAACAUAUAUGUUUAAUAGGCCUUUUAAGGCAAUUGGAUUUAGGGUUCCGUACAUUUGUUUUCAUGUGUGAACGAGUGAGAUUUAACUAUACGAUUUGUUUAGCUAGAGACUAGAAGCAUUCCAAUCCAAUCCAAACCUAACAUGAGCCCAUUUGAGAAAUUAAUCUAAGAUGACCCUUAGCCCAAAUGAAUAUGUACGACGGUGUCAUUAUUGGAUGUCGUACGGUUCCAUCCUUGAAAAGUUGAAAAUUUGGGUGGGGUUGUGUAAGUGGUGUGGAGAGAGAGAAAAAGAGGAGAGAGGAAGGCACAAAGCACCCACUUUGUUUUCAUCGAGUCCAAGAGUUGGAAGUGGAGGUAGGUCUCUUGGUCUCCGUCUCAGAAGACUUGAACACACAUAGUCUCCCUCUGCACUCGGAUCACACAGAGAAGCAAGGAAGAAUGUCAGGCGUCACGAACCAGGAGGAGGACAAGAAGCCCACCGAUCAGUCCGCCCACAUCAACCUCAAAGUCAAGGGCCAGGUCCCCUUUCUCUCUCUCUCCCCCCCCCUCUCCUCUCUCUCUCUCUCUCUCUCUCUCUCUCUCUCUCUCUAGGUUUUGUUUUUGUUCAUGGAAAUUAUGUGUUAAUCGUGAUCAGAACAUACCCUACAAAAUUGGGGGUUUUUUUUUUUGAGUGUUUAAUGAAGCAUGUUUUGUUCUUCCUAUGUUUGAUGUCUGUCUUACCUUUGUUUGUUUUUUUUUUUUUGGUUGUGCCUGAAAUUACUGUUCAAUAAACCCUAAAUUGACCUUAAUUUCUCAAUAUUUUGGAGAUUUUACUAUAUGCGAGUGUAAAGUUUGCUGACAAUGGAUACUUUGGUGCACGUUGUAUGUGAAUUAUUGUUAAUGCUGGAAAUGUAUUGGUUUUGGUUAUGUAGGAUGGGAAUGAAGUGUUUUUCAGGAUCAAGAGAAGUACCCAACUGAAGAAGCUUAUGAACGCAUACUGCGACAGACAGUCGGUUGAAUUCAACUCUAUUGCAUUCCUGUUUGAUGGCCGUCGUCUGAGAGCCGAGCAGACCCCUGAUGAGGUUCGUUUCUUUAUCUAUCUCCCGAUAUGUCAGUAUGUGUGUGAAUUUUUUGACUUCUGACUGAUUAUUGUUCUUCUCCUGCAGUUGGAAAUGGAAGAUGGGGAUGAAAUAGAUGCAAUGCUGCAUCAAACUGGAGGUUCUUUUGCCUAAUCAAUGAAUAUAGAAGGUUGUUUUCCUAGUAGGAGCGAAGUAUAUGUAGACUUUAAACUAUCGCGAAGGCUGAUGUUUGAACUUUGAGUAUCUGUCAACACUUUGAGUAUCUAGAUGUUUGUCAGUACCUGGCAAUUGUGUGUGUAAUAAGUAUGGUGGUAUUGUUUCAAAGUAUAUGAGGUAUGGCUUCUGCUUUACAUUCUCUCUGUGUGGCCUAUUCUUUUUAUUCUUAGCACUAAUAUCUGGCUGUUCUUCAUGUGACUUGUAUUUUUUAUGUGUGUGUCCUGAAUGGUGGUCUACACAUUUGUGAAUAAUGGUUAAAGUUUGAUCAUGAGGGAGCAGAUGGAUGCAUUUUGAGACCUCUCUGUAACAAAUCCUUGGCUGUCAAUUGACUUGUCAAGAUGAAAUUGUUGCUUGACAUGUCAACUGCAUGCUGAAUCUUGAGGAUGAUCGUCGUGGGUGAGUAGUGUUGGCUUUGGAUAUAAUAGCAUGAAUCACAUUAAAAAUCAACAACAUUGUGACACGAAAAUGUGUCAUCAUUGACGUUGAUGAAGUGUUAUUUGCAUUAGGAACCAGUUUGUCCUGUCUAAGCUUCUCUGGUGGUCAGGUCAUCUUAGGAUGUUAGGGGUCUGUUGGGUUCCUAGGUUUGAAGUGGAUUGGAUAACUCAUGAAGUUCAAGGUAUGUUGAAGGUGGAGGUGAUCAGACAUGAAGGAAACAAUUUAUCUCAUUUCUUCCUUCGACAUUCCUUGAAGUACAAGGAGUUAGCCAAUCUAUUCGAUUACUGGACACCAAACAAGCUCUUAAAUUUGAGUGUUUUUGUAGUUCUCGUGUUUAGCUUAUUGCAUUUGCUUGGUAUGUUUGACUUGUUUGACGUUUAUCAAGAAUUCGCUGAGGACUCAAAACACACUUUCUGUUCAACAUCGAAAUAUAUAUGAACUUUCAUCUCUGCAACUCUCUGUACCACGUUAACCAGCUUACGACCAUCGAUUGUUUCCAAAAUUAAGGGGUUGAGAGUGGCUGCAUCUAACUGGGUGGACGGACUGUGAUGGUUGCAACAUCCUCUCAGGAAGACGUUGGCCUAUUGCCAAACCAGGGGACCAAAAUGGGGAAGGCAUAUCCCAUACUCCACCAAGUUUUCUUUUGUGCAGCAAAUUAUGAGUGCGACUUUUGUGGGGGUCAUUUUCCAUUUGAUGUGAGAUGGAAUUUUCUAGUCCAACUCUUAUCUCUUAUUCCAUGUAUUCACUUGUUACUUAUUACAGGCUGUGAAUUAAGAUGCACCAGCUUUCCCAUUUUAAUUGUCUAUUAGAUGGAUAUUGCACUUUUCAAGCGUGUUACAAAUAUUUAUUGAUUGGUAACGCCAUUGAGACUAAAUCUUGGUUGAGUUUGAUCAGAACCACUUUGGGUGAAAAAUUGGUGUGGUCGAGACUAGUGUCAAAUGACAAUAAAAACGAACAUCUACAUUAAUAUCAACAAAAAAAAAUGUUAAAAGAGGCAGAUUGGCUCAAAGUCAUCCCACUUAUAAACACCAUGUUGUUUAAAACGAAAAUUAAUGAAAAUGGCUUGAAAACUUUGAGUUUUAAUAAUAAGGACAAAAUAAAGGGUAAAGUGAAUAGUACCAGGAUUGACUUUUUAGUGUAAAAAUGUGAUUUUUCGUUAAAGUGAACAGUACUGAGUGCUUUUCGUUAAAGUUCUCUUGUUUAAAAGCAACAUAGCCACAUCGUGGAAUGAGAUCUAGUCCUGAUCGGAACUCUGAGAGAUCCAGAGCUUUCAAGAGAAAGAUCUGUUGAAUAUUUAAAAAAUAUAAUAUAUAUAUAUAUAUAUGUUUGACGGAAAGUUGGGUUAUCGACCCAACAAUUAUAUCUUUUCAAAUUAGCAUUGCAACCUUUUUGCUAAUACCUAACGGUUGCUGCAUGUUUUACAACAUAUAUGACCUUUGGGUAAUUGGUGUUUGUAUCAGAUAUGUCCAUUGGACAUAAUGCUGCAAUGUGUUGUAUCCCAUGGUGAAAAGACAUACUCAAAUCAAAGGAUGUGUCCAAAGGGUGUAAUUCUCUCUAUAUAUAGUGGUGACAUUAGUAGAAAAUGAUCAUUCAGAAAUUUGUUGUCUACAUAAUUUCUUUGCUCUCUUUUCUCUCUACAUCACAUUCAUACAAUUUCUUUCUAGUUAUUUCUAAGGGAAUAUAAUUCGAUUUUGCUAAUCGAAUAUUCCAUACUUUGUUGUAUCCUAGAAGUGAUUUGCCAAGAAUCCUUUAGCAAACUCAUUCAAGUGGGGGCAAAUAACACUUUAAGGAAACGAUUUAAGUCGUACCUCAAAGUCAUUAUUCGGAUUAUUCUCCAUAAUUCUACAUUUACUCUAACAAUCUUAAAGUGUUAUUUUCGUCAUGGAUAACAAAUCUGAUAACAUAGCUUUGAAGAUUAUCAAUCAAGAUGUCUACAAGUUAGACAAAUUUGAUGGAUCAAAUUUCACCCGAUGGAAGGACAAGAUGCGUUUCAUGCUUACUGUUCUAAAUGUUAUAUAUGUGUUGGGCCCGAAAUUGGAGCCUAUUUGUGAACCAAGUGACAAAGACUAGGACAAUAUAGUUGUCGAUCGAAAGAAGUGUGAAGAAGAUGAAUUGGUAUGUCGAGGACACAUCUUGGGCACAUUAUCUGAUCGUUUAUAUGACCUGUAUGAACACAUUCAAUUUCCAAAGGAAAUUUGGGAAGCACUUGAACACAAGUACACAAUGGAAAAAAGAGGUACCGAUAAAUUUUUAAUGUUCAAAUAUUAUGAAUUCACUAUGGUUGAUAACAAACCCAUCCUAGACCAAGUUCAUGAAUUAUUGGUCUUGGUCUCAAAGCUUCGUGAACGUAAAAUAGUUAUUCCGGAUCCUAUGAUAGUUGGGGCUAUUAUAGCAAAAUUACCCCAAACAUGGAAUAACUAUAGAAAGAAACUUCUACACAUGGUGGAAGAUAUUAGUUUGGAGAAUUUGCAAAAGGGUAUUCAAAUUGAAGAGGAAACUCGAAAUCGUGAUAAGAAUUUUACAAAUCAAGAUUUCUCUAAAAUUCACAUUGUCGAAGGAAACAAAUAUAAAAAGAACUUCAAAGUCAAAAUUGACAAAGGGAAGUUUAAGAAGACCAAUUCCAACAACAAUCAAAAGAAUGCAAAUGGUGUAUGUUACCAUUGUGGAAAGAAAGACCAUUACAUUCAUGAUUGUAGACAGAGAAAAGCAAGUAAGGAAUAUGCCAAUAAGACCAAUAGCACAAAUAUGGUGGAAAACUCUGGAAUUGAUAACAUUGUUGCAAUUGUAUCAAUGAUGCAUAUUGGCAUGAUUACCGAACUGAAUAUGACAGCGGUAAUAAAAUCCUCCGAUUGAUGGCUCGACUCAGGGGCUACUAUACAUGUGUGCAAUGACAAGGCAUAAUUCAAGACAUAUGAAGCAUCAACGGACAAUCAAGAAGUUUUAAUGGGGAAUCAUAAUUCCGCCAAAGUUCUAGGAAAAUGAACCGUUGAACUUCAAUUUACUUCUGGGAAGAAAUUGACGUUGCUUAAUGUACUGCAUGUUCCAGAAAUUAGAAAGAAUCUUGUGUCUGCAAAUUUAUUAUGUAAGAACGGUAUAAAGACUGUUCUAGAGUCCGACAAGUUAAUAAUGUUGAAAAAUGGGAUGUUUGUUGGAAAUGGAUAUUCUUGUGAUGAGAUGUUCAAACUAAGUAUUAAUAAUAAAGUGAAUUCCUUUAUUUAUAUUGUUGAAUCUUCCUCUCAUUUAUGGCAUUUACGUUUAGCACAUAUAAAUUUUAGAUUUUUAAAAUACAUGCGCACACUUGGUUUUAUUGCUUGCAAUGAUGAUUAUAAUGAUAAAUGUGAAACAUGUAUUCAAGCGAAAAUGACUAAGAAACCUUUUCCAACUACCGAAAGAAAUACAAAUUUAUUAGACUUAAUACAUUCUGACAUAUGUGAAUUUAAUGGUGUUUUAACAAGAGAAGGAAAAAGAUAUUUUAUCACAUUUAUAGAUGAUUGUUCUAAAUUUACUUAUGUUUAUUUAUUGUCUAAUAAAGAUGAAACUUUUGAGUGUUUUAAGCGCUAUAAGGCUGAAGUUGAAAACCAAAAGGGAAGGAAAAUUAAAUGCCUCCGUAGUGAUAGAGGUGGUGAAUAUUUUUCAUAUGAAUUUGAUAUUUUUUGUGAGGAGCAUGGUGUUGUACAUCAAAGAACUGCACCCUAUACACCACAACAAAAUGGUUUGGCAGAAAGAAAAAAUAGGACAAUCACUGAAAUGAUUAAUUCUAUGAUGAUUAAUGCUAAUACUCCAAAAUAUUUAUGGGGUGAAACAUUGUUUACUGCAUGCCAUAUACAAAAUAGAAUUACAUCUAUGAAGACACAUGUGUCACCAUAUGAAAUUUGGAAAGGAAGAAAACCAAAUUUGUCAUAUUUGAGAGUAUGGGGUUGUGUAGCUUUUUAUAAGGCACUCGAUCCUAAGAUAUCCAAGUUGGGUCCAAGAGGAAUUAAAAGCAUAUUUGUAGGUUAUGCAGAAAAUUCAAAGGCAUAUAGGUUGCUUAAUUUAGACUCGAACGCAAUAGUUGAGUCUAGAGAUGUCGAAUUUAUAGAAAAUAAAUUCUAUAAUGACUACUCAGUGUCUGGAAAAGAGAAUGAUCAAACACAUUUCUCUAAUCCGUCUACUAGUCAAUCUCAAUGUGAGAAAAGAAAACAGUCUGAAACUGUUAAUGAACCAAGGAAAAGCCAAAUGGUAAGAAAAGAAAAGACUCUAGACCCUGAUUUUAUUUCAUCUCAAUCUAUUGUAUUUUUAGUCGAAGGAAAUAGAACAAAGGUUCUUAAGAAAAUACCCAUAUUGUUGAAUGUUGAGGAUGAUCCUAAAAGUCUAAGCGAAACAUUGACUUCAAGAGAUGCAGCCUUUUGGAAAGAGGCUAUAGAUGAUGAAUUUGAAUCAUUAAUAUCUAAUCAGACAUGGGUUAUAGUAGACUUGCCCCAAGGAUAAAAAGCAAUAGGUUGUAAGUGGGUAUUUAGAAGAAAAUACAAUACAAAUGGGUCUAUUCAGACAUUCAAAGCCAGACUAGUUGCCAAAGGUUUUAAGCAAAAAAAGGGAAUAGACUAUUUCGGUACAUAUGCACCAGUAGAUAGGCUCACAUCAAUUAGAAUAUUGUUUGCAUUGGCAUCUUUAUAUAAUUUGCAUGUGCAUCAAAUGGAUGUGAAAACGGUCUUUUUAAAUGGUGAUUUAGAUGAAGAAGUCUAUAUGGAACAACCAGAAGGGUUUGUUCUCCCUGAGAAUGAAAAGAAGGUUUGUAAAUUAGUAAAGUCAUUAUAUGGAUUGAAGCAAGCACCAAAAUAAUGGCAUGAAAAGUUUGAUUUUGUCAUUUUAUCAUAUGAAUUUAGACAUAAUAGUGCUGAUAAAUGCAUAUACUCUAAAUUCACAAAUGAUUAUAGUGUUGUUAUAUGUUUAUAUGUCGACGACUUGCUAAUUUUUGGUACAAACAUGAAAGGUGUAUCUGAAACUAAAGAGUAUCUAAAUUCAAAAUUCAAGAUGAAGGACUUGAAUGAAGUAAAUACUAUCUUGGGAAUUAAAGUAAAGAAGCAUAGUGGGGGUUACGCUUUAUGUCAGUCACAUUAUAUAGAAAAAUUGAUUUUUAAGUUUAAGCAUCUACAAAUAAAAGAAGCAAAUACCCCUUAUGACCCUAGUGAGAUUUUGCUUAAUAAUUAUGGUAGGUCUGUUGCACAGCUUGAGUAUACUAGUGUAAUCGGAAGUUUAAUGUAUGUCAUGCAUUGUACCAGGCCAGAUAUCGCAUUUGCAGUAAGCAAACUUUCUAGAUACACUAGUCAUCCAGGUACUGCUCAUUGGAAAGCAAUAAAUAGAAUUUUUGGUUAUCUUAAAAAAACUAUUAAUCUGAGUUUAACUUACUCUGAGUUUGCAGCAGCACUUGAAGGAUAUUCAGAUGCAAGUUGGAUAACAAGUGCUAAUCAGGGUGAAUUUUAACAAUUGGGAUGAUCAAUUUCUUGCAGGCAUGAAGAAAAAUUUUUUACAAUUGCCGGAUGAAGCACAUUUCUUGGGCUUCAACUAUGGAAACAUUGUAUAGCACAUGAAUUUCUGAAUUAUAGCAUUAACAGCAGCAGGUAAAGAAGCGGAAUGGAUUAUUAGAAAUUUGUUAUUGGAAAUAGAGUUGUGGCCACAACCAAUGCCAUCCAUUUCUUAUAUUUGUAUAGUGAGGCUACUUUGUCUAGAGCAUACAAUAAGGAUAUACUAUGGAAAGUCUAGACAUAUUAGCUUGAGUCAUGAAUAUGUCAAGCAAUUAAUAACUGAUGGAGUUAUUAAUAUUGUUUAUGUUAAAUCAAAGUAAUAACUUGGCGGAUUCGUUAACGAAAGAACUUUCAAGAGCUUUGGUAGUUAGUACAUCUAGUGGAAUGGGGCUAAAACCCUUUAUUGAAAAUUAGCCACCAAUAAUGGUAACCCAACUUUCUCUAGAACAUCACUAGUUUAAAAGUUUAAUGGGUAAUAACAAGUUAUUGUUUAAGUGGUUGUGAAAGCAUUGAAAAUUAUUAUAUAUAGCUCAUUCCAGGAUGGUGAUCAGCUGCACUGAUGAAUUUAUCUAGAAUGAGUUUUUAGUUUAAAAUAUAGAGGUUAUUUGUAGUUAUCACCUUAUAGUAGCAUGGACAUGGGAAGGAACCUCACCUUAUUAAAGAAAAUUAAGAAGUAGUGCCUUUCUUUUCAAGAGUUGGAAAUGUUCAUGAAACUAGGAUGAAGCACAAGAUCAUAAUAGUGCUUAAUUAGUUCAGAAAUUUCUUUAAAGAAAUAAGACAUAAUCAUGUGUGUAGUGAUUCUGGUUUUAACAUAAGAAUAGGUGGUUUAAACUUAGGUCACCAUCGCAUUCGUUAUAACUUUGAAUUACUUACACUAAUUAAAGGUUUAAUUCGAAAGAAACCUUUAUUGUAUGCAUGAUUAUAUCGGUAUGUUUGUGAUAAUUAUAAAGAGAGAGUUGUAAUAUCAUUUUCUAUAUAUUUUUAAAAUAGGGAAGGAUUGUUGAAUAUUUAAAAAAUAUAAUAUAUAUGAGGCUGUUUGAUGGAAAGUUGGGUCAUUGACCCAACAAUUAUAUCUUUUCAAAUUAGCAUUGCAACAUUUACCCACCGGUUGCUGCAUGUUUUACAACAUAUAUGAUCUUUGGGUAAUUGGUGUUUGUAUCAGAUAUGUCUAUUGGACAUAAUGCUGCAAUGUGUUGUAUCCCAUGGUAAAAAGACAUACUCAAAUCAAAGGAGGUGUCCAAAAGGUGUAAUUCUUACUAUAUAUAGUGGUGACAUUAGUAGAAAAGAAUCAUUCAGAAAUUUGUUAUCUACAUAAUUUCUUUGCUCUCUUUUCUCUCAACAUCACAUUCAUACAAUUUCUUUCUAGUUAUUUCUAAGGGAAUAUAAUUUGGUUUUGCUAAUAGAAUAUUACAUACUUUGUUGUAUCCUGAAAGUGAUUUGCCAAGAACCCUUUAGCAAACUCAUUCGAGUGGGGGCAAAUAACACUUUAAGGAAAUGAUUCAAGUCGUACCUCAAAGUCAUUAUUCGGAUUAUUCUCCAUAAUUCUACAUUUACUCUAACAAGAUCUGCACAGUUCAAUUUUUUUAGUCUUUGUGAAGCAAAUCAAUGGGAUGGUUAAGGGCGCCGUAAGAUUGAAAUUGAUUGUUCCAGAUAUCUCGGUCCGCAGACUCCAGAUACAGAGAUCCAAAGUGUAUACUAAUUUAUUUUCGCAUUCAACGUAAAUAUAUCUAUCUAUCAAAACAGAAAAUAGAAAAAUAUGAAUUUAAUUGCACAUUUCAAUUAAUACCCUCUUAAAAUUAUUCAAUAAUAAAAAUUGUAGAAUACGCUGGCUUUUCAAAUUUAAAAAUGCCCAGCCAACAUCUUUAUAAAACCAGAUAUCAUUCCAUGUACAGAAAGGCUAUGCAGCUAAAAUGUGGCCAACAAAAUAUUUGGGGUUGUCUAAUUUCUCCUAGCCGUUUAAUCAACUUUACAUGGGCCCACAUAAUUACUAUUUGGAGCAAAAUUAUGCCAGAUAUUAUUACCUGAAUUUGGUCAAAAACAUUCAUUAGGGAAAUCUGAUUUCACGUCCUUUAAAAGUUAUAAUAAUUGUAACCGUUGAAUAAAAUUUCAACGGUCCAAUAGGCUUGCUUAGAAGGAUCCUCACCCUUAGCUCAGGAGAGGAUCCUGAUCCACGUGGGAGCACUUGAUAUGUAUUUAAUCAAUUUCAAAUCCAAAGUAAAGCUCAAUUGGUCUGUUUUUUCUUUUUCAGGAAUUUUUUUUUUUACAGAUAACAUGAAACUAUUGAUAGAAAUGAGUUUCAUCUUAUAAGACAUAGUGUAAUAUGUCUUAUAAGAUAAAACUCUUCAGAAUCGUCAACACGUUCGUGAAUACAACUAUAACUUUUUUCAUUUGAUGAGUUUGUACAUUUUUUUCGCACCCAACCAAAAUCUUGUAAAUAUAAUGGCUUAUAAGUUAUAGUCAUUUAUUUACUCACCUCUUAGUAUAAAUGUACCGUUGUAUAAAAAAAACUAUGGUCAUUUGCUAACUAAAUUCUGGUGUAACAUGUCUAAAUAUUUUUGAAUACUUUUACCAUGGAUUGUAGCCUUUUUGGGGUAAUUUGUGAUUAACCAAUCAAUGGGGGAAUCCAUUUAUUAAGCUCGCGUGGUCUUGGCCCCACACUACUGAGCAGGAGUAUAAAUAGGGGCCUGUGGGAGGGGUAGGAAGAAAAGAGAGUGAGAAACACAAUAAUAUUACGGAGGACAUGAAGCAAGGUAUUGUCCUCCAAUGGGUUUCUCUACUCUCCAUUUUCGCUCUCUUUUCCUUGUCUCAGACUCAGUCCUUCGACUACGGCGAAGCUCUCUCCAAGAGUCUCCUCUACUUCGAGUCCCAACGUUCCGGCCGCUUGCCCCACAAUCAACGGGUCACCUGGCGUCACCAUUCCGGCCUUGACGAUGGCCUAGAACAAGGGGUCAGUUAACCAUUUUAUCAUUACAAUCAUCAAUCAUAUACAACGUGUUUGUAGCUCAGUUAGUUAGCAUUCAUUCGAGGCUCUGCAUUCGAUUAUCCCAAUAUUGCUGUAUAAAAGCAAAAACAUCAAUCCUAAUUAUGUAUGCAUGUGUUUGAUGUGAUGUAUUUCGUCUGGCGUUUUCACGUAUGUUUUUCAGGUGGACUUGGUGGGAGGGUACUAUGAUGCAGGUGACAAUGUGAAAUUUGGUCUGCCAAUGGCUUUUACCAUAACAAUGCUGUCUUGGGGUGUCAUUGAGUACGGCAAACAAAUAGAGGAUGCUGGAGAGUACAAUCAUGCCUUAGAAGCUAUCAAAUGGGGGACUGAUUAUUUCAUCAAGGCUCAUACUCACCCAAAUGUUUUGUGGGCUGAGGUAAUAGUAAUAAUGAAAUAAAACUAUCGAAAACUCUCAAAGUCUGACAUGUUAUUAAACUUUGAUUUAAAUGUGAAAUAGAUUCAUAGUCUGUCAACAUUGUCAUAUAUGAUAAUUUUUAAUACUUUAGACUGUCAAUAGCUUGGGUCGGUCAAUAAAUUUACUAUAUGAGUCUAUGAUUGUUAGGUGGGAGAUGGAUCGACGGAUCACUACUGUUGGCAAAGGCCGGAGGACAUGACAACAUCUCGACAAGCCUACAAGGUCGAUGAGAACCACCCCGGGUCAGAUAUUGCAGGUGAGACUGCGGCGGCAAUGGCAGCGGCUGCCAUUGUGUUUAGGAAAACCAACCCACAUUACUCUGGCCUACUUUUACACCAUGCACAACAGGUAACAUAUUUAAUUAGUCUGAUGACGAUAUAUACACAGAAAUAUACAAGGUUGAUAUACCACUAUGCAAAGGUUGGUGUACUGGUUACCAAAGAACAAUGGCUUUGGUUAAAUAAAUACGUACUCUUAAAUAUUUGAUAUAAAUUUAUUCAAUCUAUUUAACAUAUAAUUAAUUUGGGAAUUGGAUUUGUUGGCAGUUGUUUGAGUUUGGUGACAAAUAUAGAGGUAAAAUAUGAUGAGAGUAUUGAAGUGGUGAAGGGGCACUACACAUCUUGGAGUGGUUACAUGGAUGAGUUGCUCUGGGCAGCAUUGUGGUUGUACACAGCCACACAGAAUGAGGAUUAUUUGAACUAUGCUUUGAACAAUGCUCAGUCUCUUGGGGGCACCACUUGGGCCAUCAAAGAGUUUAGCUGGGAUGUUAAGUAUGCUGGUGUUCAAAUCAUUGCUUCAAUGGUACAUAAACUCAAACUUGAUCACCUAUCUAAUUCUCUUUAAUUUCCAUCUCAUUAGUAAAUAGAACUAUACUAGGUUAGACGAGAAGCUGAUUGUAGCCGGUGGCACAUUGUGAGACUUACAAUUUAUCAACUAUCAUAAUACAUAGUUUCAAAUCAAGUCAUCGACUUGUUGACCCUAAAAACUACUAAACCUAUGUGGCGCGCAGGCCGAGUAAUUAGUAAGCUAACUACGUCCUUCGGUUGUAUGUGAGGCGUGCCAACUCGUCAGCCAAACUCGGGCGAGGAGUAAAAUUUGUUGAUGUUGCGUUGAGCGCACGGCUGACUUCUUGAUCUUGAACACUCUCGGCCUUUGGGUUUUAGAGCAUGAAGACAAGGCUGCUAGUCUGCGAAGUUCACAAAUCGUCGGCUCCGGAUUCGGUCACGGUGAUUAUGUUCGUGAGAGUAUAAGCACGCCGAAUCGACACUAGAGUAUAAGGACACAAAUACUCAAAACAAAUGUACGUCUUGAUUGUGAAAGUGGUUCGACCGUCAGAAUGCCGAACUCUAAAACCUACUUGCGAAUACCCAAUCAUAAACAACUCGGCGUUCGAUGUGCCGAGCCUUAGUAAGACCUCAUUUCGCCGAGAAGGCUGAUGAGAUAACCUCUGCCAACAAGGAUCCGAAAAUCCUUCUCGACUAAGACUUAGAUAGAUAACCAGUCGACCCUGUUGCAGUGCUGUUUAUCCAAACUGAAGGUGCUUCACGGUCGGCUGAUUUUAUGGCAACAAUGCUGUUUAUCCAAACUGAAGGUAUGUCAGCGGAAAAAGAAAGUAAAAAUCUCAAAGUUGUUGAGAGGUUUCGUGUAAAGCGAGAGUUUGCACAGGGCAAUUUUUGUGUUGAAUUGGAGGGAGUUUGUUUGAUGUCCACCCUCCCUAUUUAUAGUAGCCAACGUGCGUUGAAUCCCAAUCAUUCUCGAAUUAGAACUCUUUUCCUUGAUCCAACCUUAUCUCGGCCAAUCUUACUCCUACUAUGACUUUGAACUUAACUCAUUAUCAGGCCGCAUUAAAUCUCAAACUCCAGCAUCUUUUUCUUGUCGAAACUCUUUCUUGUAAUAGGACUCACUUGCAUCCCACAGGUUCCUGACGGGAUAUGGCCAGCUUCGACUGCGUGGCCCAUGAGCUGGACAACCCCCAAUGACACCUAAACACGGCCUCUGGGCCGAGAACAAUUCUAAACUCGGCCCGACCAAUACUGGGCCGAGAACAAUUAUAAACUCGGCCUAAACCAAUAUUUUUGGGCCUAAACACGACCACACAAUUAAUGCAUCACUGACUCAAGAUUUGUUUGAAAUUACUUGUUUACAAAAUACUACUGCUCAUAAGUAUUCUAGUGAAACAACUUCUAUUAGAAGCACAUAAAAAAUUUCAUGAAAUGCACGUGGUUCAUGAAAAAGCACUUGAAAUGCAUUAUUAAAAAGAAAUAAAAACAAGUGCUUAAUUGUUGAAAGCACUUCAAAUGCCUCUCUUAACUCAAGAGCACUUUGAAUUUUUUUCCCAAACAUUAUCAAAAGCACUUUCAGUUAUUUCAAAAGUUUUUCCAAAGAGUCCCUCAAAGCUACCCACCCUUAUAUUGACUGAACUUAACAUCCUUCUCUAAGGAUAAUACUUGCAUUCCCUUCUUGGGGGAUAAGCUCAUUCCUCCACUUAUAAAUAACGUAUCUAGAGAUUGACAUGGUUCUGAUUAUGAAAUUUUUAGGCUGAAGCUACGCUAUUUGCAAGUGUGGAAAUGACUUCAUUCCUCCAAGAGGAAUUCAAGCAUUAUUCUUUCUCUAAAUUUAAGUAAACUUUUUUAUUCACACCAUACAACGCACAACAUUCUAAUACAACUAGUGUGUCUCAAAUCUUUAUUAGAUCUCACCUCUAGCAUCAGUCAUGUGAUUAACUGUCUGAUUUGUAAAUUAACAAAUAUUUAGUUUAUUUGUUUCAAUUCCUUAACUCUCACAUACGUUUUCUUUUUCAGUUGCUAAAGGAAGAGAGACACAAGCAACACAUGCAAAUACUGCAACAGUAUCGUUCAAAAGCAGAGUUUUACAUGUGUGCUUGCCUCGACAGAAACAACGUAGCCAACGUGCAACGCACCCCAGGAGGCGUGUUGUACAUCCGCCAAUGGAACAACAUGCAAUACGUCUCAAACGCAGCGUUUCUACUCACAACGUACUCUGAUUAUCUCCAAGCCACUCAUGAGAAUCUUACUUGCGACAAAGGACAGGUGAGCCCACAAGAAAUCUUAUCUUUUGCCAAAUCACAGGUUGAUUACAUUCUGGGGUCCAAUCCAAUGGCCAUGAGCUACUUAAUUGGGUAUGGACCAAAAUACCCUCAAAGGGUGCACCACAGGGGAGCAUCCAUUGAUUCGUAUAAGAAGAACAAGGGUUUCAUUGGGUGCACUCAGGGGUACGAUAGCUGGUAUGGGAGGCAGGGUCCAAACCCUAACGUGCUUGUUGGGGCACUGGUUGGUGGGCCCGAUGGGAACGAUGGAUUCAGGGACGAGAGGUGGAAUUACAUGCAGACUGAGGCAUGCACUUACAACACUGCAACAUUAGUUGGGGUUCUUGCUAAAUUGGAUAGAUUAAAAGGUGAGUGUAUGGGGUUUAAUCAAUCAUUAAUAGCUUCAAGCUAGCUAGUUAAUAGGAUGUGUAUGUAUGAAAAUGUCUUUCAAUUGGGCUUAUAAUUUUGAUAAACAAAUCACCAUACAGUCCUAAAUCAAUGUAUAAUCAUGGUACUUGGAAAAAAUGUAUAAUUAUUAUACAAAAGAAAGAAAUACAAUGAGGAAUAAAUUAAUGAACUUUAAUUUUGACAGACAACAAUUAAGUUGACCAAUUUUCCUUUCUAUCCACACUCUUUCUUUUCUAUUGAUGAGUAAUUUUGUGAACACAUUUUAGUGGAACAUGAUCCUCUUCGAAUUCAAACCAUUUGAAUUCUGCAGACCAAAUAAACUCUUCAGGUAAAAUCGUGCGGGCUGAGAUCACUCUUCCUCUUCAACUUUCUCACUAUUUCUCUUUCUCCUCAACAUCGUUGCCUUUUUCUCCGACAUCGAUCGACGAAGCAGAACCGUAGAGAAAGAAAAGAAGCAGAAGAUAAUGGGAGGGGUUGAAGGUCAGAAAAAUAUGUUGUGGGAAUUGGUGUGGGAGAGGUAGGGGGAGGUGAGUGAUGGUACGGAGGUUCGUAGGAUCUGUAGAGGUUCUGUACCCCAUUUUAGUCAUUUACUUGUUGUACUGAUAGGAUUUUUACCACACACACAAAGGGGUUAAAAACACCUAUAAUACUUGCAAGAAUGACAAGGAUAUUGUAGUAUAAAUGUUUCUAGCAAGGUUGUUCUCCACAAGGAUUAUUAAAUAAUUCGUAUCAAACCAAAUUUCAGUUAAUAAUUGUAAAGCAAAGAUUUGGGAUGAUUGAUUUUAUGACCUAAUUUAAUAAAAACAAAAUUAAUAAAUGAGAGUGGAAGAAUCUGCAAUAUUAAAGAUGAGGAAAAAGAAAUAGUUUUUAGAAGUCAAUUUGAGAAAGCACUAGGGUUUCCCUAUCACCUUAUCAAUCAUAUAUAGUUUUCCCAAUUACUUAUGACCUAUACAUGCAUAUUUUGAAUGUUAGGUUUUCUUAAUAUAUUCCUACUUGAACACCCAAUAUAGAAUGUAUAUCAAACAUGCAAUCUGUCUGUGGUAUUCAAAUCAAAUAUAAACAUGCAUGACUCAUUAAGUUCUGUGAAAUUAUUUGAAAACCAUGCAACCCUUAAGAUAUAGUAUUCAUCCUAAGUGAACUUGCACAUAUUAACCACAAGCAGCAUUCGUCAAUUUCAGGGACCGACCUCCAACCAAAAUUGCAUCAAAUUACUUUUAUAAAUAUCCUAAUGGCCAUGAAUCAUCAAGACACUAGAUAGUUUAAACCGGUGAUUAACAAUUCAAAACUUGCAUGCAUAAUAUCAUAAGCAAAUUAAUAUAUAUAUAUAUAUAUAUAUAUAUAUAUAUAUAUAUUUUGCUAAGGCUCGUGGCCUCGCCCUAGUAAAAAGGAAAUUAGUUACGCAUAUUCAUAACUAAAAUCAACAUAAAUUGUAAUGAAAUAAUAAAAGAUCGAAAACACCUUGAAUGUAAAAGUUUGAAAAUCUCUACACCUGGCCAAUUUCCUCUCCCAAUAUCGCAUGAAGAAGAAGAGAAAACUAGAGCCGGCCAAGCUUAUUUAUCCUACUAAAUUAAAUCCUCCUAAUAAAAGGUCUUCCAUCAAGACUAGGAAACCAAAUAAAUUAAAAUAAAAUAUGAAACAUAACCCUAAAUUAAAUGGUAAAAUUAGCCCAAAAUCUGCACAACCAAGUUUUGGACCCAUAUCUGCUCCAAAACCGGACCAAUAUAGCUAGAUUUAAAACUUGGAAUAUUCUGAACAGUUCUCCAGAAGACCACGAACUCAUCAGAGGUCAUCUCAGGCUCCAAAAAUCACAUUUAAGCCUAUAAACGUCAAUUUCCUACAACGUGCACUGCUUCUUUACUCUAAUGCCAGAAAAUAACCGUUUGGUAGAAAAAUCCCAAUUUUGAUAAAACACACCAAGGGAAACACGAACGUCCUCCAAUUUGAAUCACUCCAAAAUUCGUCCAUUUAAUCACGUUUUGCUCCAGGGGAAGUCGAAUGUCCUAUAUUGAAAAUACAAAGCAAAGUAUCAAAAUUUUACCAAAAUAAUUACAAAAACAUACUAAGAAUAUAGUAAAAUAUAUACUAUUAAAUUGACUCGUCAGGUACCAAAAAGAUUAAUAUAAUAAAUACUAAUUAACUAUCUCAUCAUAGGGUGAAUGAUAGACUAAUCUAGCAAAUGUGAAAAAAAAAGAGUAUAGAUUAUGAUUUAGUGACAAAUCCACCAUGAAGUCAACAUGCCAUCGACCGAAAAAAUUGGUGGGAAGCACCUUUGAUGACCCCCCCUGUGUCAUUUGGGUAGUAACCAAUUCAUGCACAUAAGGUGUUCGACAAAUGCAUGAGUGAGACAUAAUUUCGUCCGAUCAAGAUACAAAAUUUGAUCGGACAAAUUGUUAGAUUACAUGAUGUAUUGUUAGUUGAUAGAGUUGUUAGGCACUGCCAUGUGUCUCUAUUGUAUUGGUUAAUCUAGAAGUUAGUUGUGUGUGGUUGUAUUUAUAAAUAGGGCAAAGGAUGUAAUAGUGAAUGUAAUGAAAAGUAUCAGUUUCUCUCACUACUCUCUCUCUUCGAAUUCUUUCUUGCUUUCUCUGCAUUCCUCCAUAGCUAAAUCUCAGAGUUAUCAUGGUAUCAGAGCCUGCCAAGGUUAACACCAUUGGUUGAUGAUUCCUAUGCUUCCGCUCGUCUUUGUUGUUCUGGUGACGGUUUGUUGGUGUGUGUCGGUGGAAUUGACAAAACCCUAGAAUUUUUUUUUUUGGGGUUUCUUAAGCUCGUCGGUGGCAUUUCUUCUGUCGGUCGGUCUUUUCUUCGUCGUCGCUCGUUGAAUUCAUAGUCGCUACUUGGAUCUUUGGUUGGAUCCAUCUUCAAUUUGUCUCGUCGCUGCAGUUGAGGUGUUUUCUUUCGAUUUCUCUGUUUGAUUCGAUUCUUUACUGGUUCUUGAUUUGUUGAUUCUUGGCCAUUGUUGCUUUGUGAUUCUCUGUCUUUUGGAUUUGUUGAAUCUCUUAAUUCGUCAUAGUGACUACUACACAACUAGCACUCACACAAUCUCAUAUCUCUUCACUUAUAUCCAGUGUUGGAAACACUGUUACUGUGAAGUUGGAUGAUUCGAACUAUGUUACUUGGAACUUUCAGAUCGAAUUGUUGCUAGAAGGGAAUGGCAUUAUGGGGUUUGUUGAUGGGUCUAUUACUUGUCCUUCGAAAUAUGAUGAUUCAGGUUUUGAUGGUGAAUUGGUAGUUAAUAAUUCUUCAAUCACUGAUGCUUAUAAAGUUUGGAAAAUACAUGAUAAAGCUCUUAUGACUUUGCUUACUGCAACACUAUCUACUGCUGCUUUGUCUUGUGUAAUUGGUUGUCAAAGUUCACAAGAAAUGUGGAAUAAUCUUAAAGAGAGAUUUGCAAGUAUGACUCAUACUAGCAUUGUCCAAAUGAAGAUUGAUCUGCAAAACAUCAAGAAAGGGCCAGAAUCCAUUGAUCUGUAUUUGCAGAGAAUUAAAGAUUGUAGGGAUCAAUUAGCUACUGCUGGUGUUGUGAUUUUGAUGAGGAUAUUGUUAUUGUAGCUCUGAGAGGAUUACCUACAGAAUAUAAUAUCAUUAAGUCUAUCAUUCGAGGGAGAGAAAAUCUGGUUUCCUUAAAAGAGCUUCGAUCUCAGUUGAAGGCAAAAGAGUCUACAUUGGAAGAGGUCAUCAAGUCACCAUCUUUAAUGGCAGCUAUGCUUGCAAAUACUUCACGUCCAGUUUAUGACACUGGUGGCUCUUCUCAUACUAACACUCAUACUGGAAACUUUGAUUUUGGGUCCUAUGUUCAUUCUGGUUCAUAUAUGUCUCAGUUUCAGCCACUGCCCUUUCCUCCUACCAAUGGUCCUGUAGCAUUUGUCUCUCAGACUGGAUCUGGGACUUACAACAACUUUAGGGGCAAUAACUACAGGUUCAGGGGUAAAGGCAAGAAGUUCAAUACUGGCUUUCAUCAACCCUCUGGUUAUCAAGGCUCUGCACAACCUAAUUUUCAAUCGCAAUCUCAGUUUCAGAAUCCUGGCUCUCAGAUAGUUUCAGAUCAAUCAUUUCACCCUUUGCUCAUUUGUCAAAUAUGUGAUAAAAAGGGACAUGUAGCUCUCAACUGUUUUCAGAAUGGUUGUCAAAUCUGUCACCUUAAAGGACAUACUGCUGCCACCUGCUUUGACAGACUCAAUUCUGCACCUGUUUCUGUGCCUCAAUCUCAGCACUUCUCUCAAUCUCCCAAUGUGAUUCAGCAGCAUCCAUUUCAAUCUUCACAUCCAUUUUAGCCUCAAGUACAGAAUCCUAAUAUGGUGUCUAAUUCUCAGUAUUCCAAUGGGAUGUUAUCUCCUCACCUUGGGUCCACCGGUGCCUUUACUGCAAGAACCACCUUCUCUCCAACAGCACCACAGCAAGAGUAUUGGUUACUUGGAGCAACCAAUCAUAUGACAUCUGGUCUGUCCAAUUUGCAAGCUACCACUCCCUUAUUCUUCAUCAGAGACAGUUACUAGUGCUAGUGGUAAAGGUUUACAAAUUAAACAUAUUGGUCAAGCUCAUUUAUCUAAUUCAUCACAUACACUUGAGUUCAAAUCUGUGUUAUAUGUUCCACACUUAUCACAACACUUAUUGUCUAUGCAUCAAUUGUGCAAAGACAAGAAUUGUAGGUGUAUUGUUGAUGAAUUCUCUGUGUGUAUAUAGGACAAGGUCACCAACAAGGUACUAUAUCAAGGACUGAGUAACUAAGCUGUCUAUCCACUUCCCAUUCUCAAACAACCAAAGCCAACUUCUGCAGCUUUCCUUGGACAGAAAAUAAAUACAUCUCUUUGGCAUUGCAGAUUGGGUCAUCCAACCAACUCUGUAACUCAAGUAGCCUUUAGUAAGUCAGAUAUUAAAAUUCCCUGUACUUCCUCAUCUCAAACUUGUAUUGAUUGCUUACAAGGCAAGUUUACCAAGUUCCCUUUUCCCUUAAUGGCUUCAAAGUCUCUUGUUCAUUUUGAAGUCAUUCAUACUGAUGUAUGGGGUCCCUCUCCUAAUAAGUCUUUAGAAGGGUAUAGCUAUUAUGUGUCGUUUAUAGAUGAAUGUACACGAUAUACAUGGAUAUUUCCCAUGAUUAAUAAAGUUGUUGUCUUUGAGAUAUUUAUGCAAUUCCAAGCUUAUAUUCAUACCUACUUUUCUGCACAUAUUAAAGUACUACAGAGUGAUGGUGGGGGAGAGUAUACUAGCAUUCUAUUUCAAAAUUUUCUUAAAUCUAAAGGGAUUGUACACCAAAAAUCAUGCCCCUACACUCCUGAGUAGAUGGUUUAGCUGAGAGAAAGAAUAGGCAUCUUGUUGAAACUGCUAUUACAUUACUUCAAAAAGCUUCCCUUUCACCUAAGUUUUGGUUUCAUGCCUGUGCUACAACUACUUAUCUUAUUAAUAGAAUGCCUACCUCUGUGUUAAAGAUGCAGUCUCCAUUUGAGAUGUUGUUUAAGUCUCCUCCUCAUCUUGAACAUUUAAGGAUUUUUGGCUGUGCUUGUUACCCUCCCCUGAAACCAUAUUGCCACCAUAAACUGGAACCUAAAACCAUACAAUGCAUCUUCUUGGGGUAUGCUGCUCAAUAUAAGGGGUAUAUUUGUUAUGCUCACAAGGAUAACAAGCUUAUUGUGUCCAGGCAUGUAUUGUUUGAUGAAACGGUUUUUCCUAGUGCUCAUGGGUGUCCACCUCUUGUCUCAAGUCUGAUCGAUUACCUCAACCAUAUCCAGUCUUGAUUAGUCACCCUAAUACCUUUCAUCAUCCUCCAAUUAUCCCAAUACCAUUUCCACAUCUAUCAUCCUCUUCUCAAGUCCCUGUUACUCAGUUCUAUUCUCACACACUUGAUGAUCUUAUCUCUCCUGGAGGUUCAAUUGUCUCAGAUUCUACAUCUUCGUUGGUGUCCUCUGAAAAACAAUCCUGAUGUGACUACCUCUCAAGUUCCAAAUUUGCAACAAGUUCUUGUGCUCAAUAUUAACACACAUCCCAUGUAAACAAGGUCCAAGUCUGGGAUAUCUAAAAAGAAGGUAUUCUCUGUUACCUUGCCACUCGAUUCCUCUCUGGAUAGGGAACCUCAGUCUUUCAGUGCUGCUUCAAAGUGUUCUCAGUGGAACUGUGCAAUGAAUGAGGAGAUUGAGGCUUUUCUUAAACAGAAAACAUGGACCUUAGUUCCACUUCCACCUCACAAGAACUUGGUGGGUUGUAAGUGGAUUUAUAAGGUUAAAAGACAUCUUGAUGGUUCUGUUGCAAGGUAUAAGGCUCGGUUAGUGGCCAGGGGGUUCUCUCAGGAAGCUAGCCUAGAUUAUUAUGAGACUUUUAGCCCUGUAGUUAAACCUACUACAGUCAGAUUGAUAAUCCUUGGCUGCUACAAAGGGAUGGAAACUUAAACAAUUAGAUGUCAAAAAUGCGUUUCUGCAUGGAUUUCUAGAUGAAGAAGUGUAUAUGUCUCAACCACAGGGGUUUAUUGACAAGGAUCAUCCAGAGUUUGUGUGCAAGCUGAAAGGUCUUUGUAUGGCCUCAAACAGGCUCCCCGAGCAUGGAAUGAGAGGUUUUCCCGAUUUCUUCUGAGUUUGGUGGUUUUAAAGCAUCAUAUGCUGAUCCGUCUUUAUAUGUCAAACAUAAUGGUCAUUCCAUUGUUGUGUUGCUCCUCUAUGUUGAUGACAUUAUACUCAGUGGUGAUGAUGAUUCCCAUGUUCAAUAUGUGAUACACCAAUUAACUAGGGAGUUUGAUAUAAAGGAUUUAGGAAUUCUCCAAUAUUUUCUUGGUCUGCAAAUUGAGUAUCAAUCUCAGGGAAUACUUGUUCAUCAGUCUAAAUAUAUCAAGGACUUGUUGCACAAGAAAAAUAUGCUAAACAGUAAGCCUUGUACCACUUAUUGUCAUCCUCAUCACAAGCUCUUCACUCAUGGUAAUCCUCCAUUUCCUGAUCCAGGUAUUUACCGAAGUAUAGUUGGUGCUCUCCAGUAUUUGACUUUUACUAGACCUAAUAUAGCUUAUUCGGUUAAUCAAGUCUGUCAAUUCAUGCAUUCUCCACUUAAAAGUCAUUUUGUUGCGAUCAAGCGAAUCUUGAGGUAUCUCAAAGGGACUAUGCAGCUUGGAUUGUGUUUUAAACCUGGAAAUUUGGAUAUUAGAGCUUACACCGAUGCUGAUUGGGCUGGGGAUCCCAAUGACAGAAGGUCAACAACUGGUUUCGUUGUGUUUUUAGGUCCCAAUCCUAUUUCUUGGAGUUCAAAGAAACAACAUACUGUUAGUCGGUCUUCUACUGAGGCCGAGUAUCGAGCAAUGGCAACUACAACUGUUAAGGUGGUAUGGCUUCAACAAUUACUCAAGGAUCUGUCUCUUUCAUCUUCAGUUACACCAUUGCUGCAUUGCGACAACAUAUCUGCCAUGGCUCUAGCAACUAAUCCCGUCUUGGAUUCUAAAGCUAAACACAUCGAAAUAGACUGCCAUUUUGCGUGAAAAGGUUCAGCAAGGCACAAUUUUGUUACAGUUUGUGGCAUCAUCGGAGCAGUUUGUGGCAUCAUCGAAGCAGUUUGCUGAUAUACUUACCAAGGGUUUGUGUUUUCCAUUGUUUAGUUCUCAUUGUUCCAAUCUUAUGCUUGGGAAUGCCUAGCAUAAGAUUGAGGGGGAAUGUUAGAUUACAUGAUGUAUUGUUAGUUGAUAGAGUUGUUAGGCACUGCCAUGUGUCUCUAUUGUAUUGGUUAAUCUAGAAGUUAGUUGUAUAUGGUUGUAUUUAUAAAUAGGACAAAGGAUGUAAUAGUGAAUGUAAUGAAAAGUAUCAGUUUCUCUCACUACUCUCUCUCUUCGAAUUCUCUGUUGCUUUCUCUGCAUUCCUCCAUAGCUAAAUCUCAGAGUUAUCACAAACCUGGUCAGCGUUUAAGUUUUUGUCAAGGACUUUGCGUGAUGAAAUUCGAAGGUUAAAGUAAAGUUCGUCAGGUAAAGUAAGUUUUUCAGGAAUGUGUAUUGUAUUGUGUCACCCUUUGCCCGACGAAAAACCAGUUCAUCAGCUUUUGGAAUGUUGCCCGAUGAAAGAUUUUGUUGGGUAAAGUGUUAUAUGUGUCGGCAAAGUUCCAUGAUGACCUAUCAAAAAAUCCACCGACACUUUUUUGCUUGACAUCGUUGUUAUUCGUCAAGCAAAACCCAAUUCAUUAAAACAGGCCAUGCAGCCUUCUUUUUCUCUUUCUCCUUUCUUUCUUCUUCCCCCCUGCGCGCUACUCUUCAUGCUCUGCAAGUCUGCUCUCUCUCUUUCACACAUCUUACACCCUUCUCAUACCAACCUCAUCACCCAUCUCUCACUCUCCCUCUCCCAAUUAAUUUAAGGUUUUUUUUAUUUAUUAAAUACUUUUUGUGUAAUUGUGUAAUUAAUUAUGUUUGGUUUUUGUAGGUUUGUGAUUGAAUUGGAAGAAAAUUAAAGGAAAGGUAUGUAUUUGUCUCUCAAUUUAAUUUUAUAGGAAAUUUUAAUUUGUCUAAUUGGGUUAUAUAUAUAUAUAUGUGUGUGUGUGUGUGUGUGUGUUGAAAUUGUGGGUUAUGUGAAAUUUUGGAUUUGUGUGUUAUUGAAACAUAUGUACUUAGGUGAACUUAAUUUGUGUACCAUUAGCCUAGGAAUCGCAGUGUAAAAUUUGUUGAAAUUCAUAAUGGUUUAUACGAAGUUUUGGACAUGUGGUGAAUGAUGCUCGCUAUUUUAUGCAUACAAUUCCCUAAACAAAGCUCGUCUACACCUGAUGGAGGCAAACAAGGUUGCUCAUAGACUGGCACGAUUGGGUCUAACUUUAGAUCAACGAUUUGGUUUGAGGAACCUCCUGAUGUAAUCACAUACCUUAUUUUGGAAGAUGGUACAACUCUGUCAUUUGUUGCGGGAUGCUCAUUUUCCUUCGAUUGAGUUGAAAUCUCAGGAAAGGUUUUUAUCGAGACCCACAUAAAUGCACCCUAUCCUCCAACAUAUAUGUAUUCUUUUCGUCAUAUCAAUGAAUAUCCUACUUCAUCUAAACAAAACAGGAAUUUGAAUAUAAUGUUUUUUUUAAUAGUGGUAUCAAUCUUUUAAAACAUUUCAGAUAAUGAAUCUAUAUCUUUGAUAAUGAACAUCCGUUAGACCAUCUCCAAACCUGUGCUAAAAGCCAAAUUACCUCCCAAAUUACCCCCCCAAACACUCUCCAACCCAUGUUAAAAUUUUAGGCUAAAUGCCAAAUGUUAUUUCUGGGCCAAAUACCCCCCCCAGCUUUCCCCCUGGGCUAAAUGCCAAAUGUUUAUCGGAAUUUAAUUUUUUUUAGAUUAAAAUGUUCAUAAAAUUAAUUUACAAUAAUCUACAUUUAAAAAAAAAAUUGAUUUAAGAAAAAAAUUAGCCUAAGUUCAUUCUUUAAUAAUUCCGGACUAAAAUUUUAGGGUAGAAGGGUUGGAGCAGAAAAGAUGUUUUUGGGCUAAAAGCCAAAUUUUCCGGGCUAAAAAAUUUGGCUUUUAGCCCAAGGGUUGGAGAUGGUCUUAGGGGGGGGACAAAUAUUGAAGUUAAUUUUCAUUGAUAGUCAUCUUUCAAGCUCUAAAUCUUUAAACCAACAUUCAAACUGUUAAACUCGAUAACCGUGGAUAACCGUCCGAAUGAAACAGAUUUGGGGAUGAAAAUUCGGUUAUAUUUCGGAUAUGGGGAAAACCGAAAAUAUUAUUUGGUUAUGUUUAUAGGGGUCCCUGAUCCCUAUAUGUCCCCGAAACCGACCCAAAUAAUACAUUUUAUAUAUAAUAUAAAUUAUAUUAAUAAAUAUAGUAUUGUAUAAUAUAAAUAUGGGAUAGGAUCAAGGAACAAAUAUUUUUACAAAUACUUUUAGACUCUUUUUAAGCCUUUUGAUUACAUGACAUCCAAGGGUUCUUAUUUAUUCAUUAAAUUACAUGGAUGCUUAUGUGGAUUUUAACUAAUAUUAAAGAUUAAAAAAAACAUAAAAUCUGGAAAAUUAAAAAUAUAAUUAAAAAAAGAAGAUAAUUUAACUAAAAUUGGUUCUCCCAUUCCCAUUUCGAUCAAGACUUGGAUUCAGACUUUGAACCCUAAUAAAAAAAUCAUGAAACUAUUGUAACCGUGCAAAAGAAACCCUAAAUAGACUUUUAACUAAUAUUAGUCGUGCAAAAGAAAUCCCCCUCAAAAACCUAGGUGUUGUCGAAGGCCUGCAGCCCACGUUUCAAGUGGCUCACCAUUAUCGUCUUGGAACUGUCGCUCUUUGGUAUGUUCUCAAUUAUGUUCAAUUCAUAUCUUCCAAAUCGUCUUCUUGAAUUUUGUUGUAAUAGUCGUCUUAUUUGAAUUUUGUCAUCUGAAUUGUGCUCUUGAAUUUUGUUAUAUAACUUAUGUUCUUUGAAUUUUGUUAUCUGAACUAUGUAAUCUCGUUAUUAAAGAGAAUAACACGGACACAAAUCUGCAAUUCCGACGUAAUUUACUCAUUGCCCAAAAUUCUAUACUUUCCUGCAUUCUAAAAUAUUUGUUGUAUCAUUCUCUUUUAUUACUUGUCAUCUUUGACUACACCAGUCAACUCUGUUAUUUGAAUUGUUCCCUAAUUGAAUUUUAUGAUAAUUUACAGUGAAAUUCGAAAAUACUAGAAGAGCACUGAACUUUUUACGUUCAAAAUAAUCUCACAUCAGAUAUUGGAGCGGCACAGUGCCACCAGUCCUGUAGUAAAUGUCAGGUUCAUGCUGUUUUUGCACCCUGAGAAUUAUUCGAACUUCACCUUCCAUAAGAGAAAGCCUGAUGAGAGAUUCCUGGAUGGCUGUCGGUCUUCUAUCCAUUCCCACAACUAGUACUGCUCGAAAAUUAUCUGCUUGGAAAACGUUGCAAUCCCUCAACAUUGUAUACGCACACACACAGAUAUACAUUUUAUGUUCAUUUUCAGUUUUAUUUUACUUUUAUUAUUAGUUAAAAUCCACAUAAGCAUCCAUGCCAUUUAAUGAAUAAAUAAGAACCAUUGGAUGUCAUAUAAUCAAAAGGCUUAAAAAGAGUGUGAAAAUAUUUGUCCCUUGAUCCUAUACCUAUAAAUAUAUAUUUAUAUAUAUUCACCACAUCCAUUAAUAAAUAAAUAUAGUAUUGUAUAUAAUAUAUAUAUAUAUAUAUAUAUAUAUUCACCGCAUCCAUUAACUUGAGAAUUACAAAAGUUGCGUUUGGUGAGAAAGUUCAAAAGUUUUUGGUAUCUACUAAAUAAUAAUGCCUCAAUUAAACAAAUAUAUUUUUGGUAUUGACGAAGAUGAAUAUAACCGUUAACCGAUGUGAAAUCUGUUACCUGGUGGGUAUGGUUAUGAAUUUUCGAUGGUCAAUUUGCAGUUAUGGAUAUGGUUAAUUUUCAUGAUUAUAGGAAUGGAUAUAACAUUUCCGUCCCAAACCGAACCGUUGUCAUCCAUAUGUGCAAGUGGAUACAUAGUAUAUAUAUUUUAAUGUGCUCUGAUAUAGAAAAUUGAGCUCUCAGCGCAUUUGUGUUUUAGUCACCCACCAGAAUUUCUUAUUUUUAUUUUUUUUACAUUAUUUCAAGGGAACUUUAACGAAAAAUUCCCGGUACUGUUCACUUUAACGAAAAAUCACAUUUUUACACUAAAAAGUCAAUCCUGGUACUAUUCACUUUACCAUUUAUUUUGUCCUUAUCAUUAAAACUCAAAGUUUUCAAGCCCUUUUCAUUAGUUUUCCUUUAUUUGAAUUUAUAUAUAAUCAUAAAAAUUAAAAUGUAAAAGAAAAUAUAGCAACCAAAAUGUUAGACCUUAGAAGAGCUUUUUUUUGGGUAUUUAAAAGCAAGAAGGUUGGAACUCAAAACCAUAAAGAAUGCAAAUAGGUGGUUUAUCUCAAUUUAUACAUAAUCAUAAAAAUUAAAAUGUAAAAGAAAACAUAGCAACCAAAAUGUUAGACCUUAGAAGGGCUUUUAUUUUGGUAUUUAAAAGUAAGAAGGUUUGAACCCAAAAACAUAAAGAAUGCAAAUAGAAGCCACCACACUAAGAUAUAUAUAUAUAUAUAUAUAUAUUCAUUAUCUCUGUUUAUACAUAAUCAUACAAAUAAAUUUGUGUAAAAAAAAAACAUAGCAACCAAAAUGUUAGACCUUAAGGAAUUUCGAACCAAAAAACAUAAAAGAUGCAAAUAGAUAUCUAGCCACCACAUCAAGAAUUUUUUUUUUCUUUCUUCACAUUAUUCAAGUUAUACACAAUUAUAAAAAAUAAAAUGUAAAAGAAAAUAUAUCAACCAAAAUUUUAGAAGAGCCUUUGUUGGAGUCUCACACAGGACCCCCAAAUUCUUAGGACCGACCCUGUUUUUUAGCCAACUUGCACCUUAAAUCUGCUUCACUAAAAAGAAUCGAUUUAGAUAUUCAAAACUCCAUAAAUAACGUGAGAGCUAAUACCUACUUUAAUAUUUGCGGAUGCCCUAAUAAAUGUCUAAUCUUCAAAAAUGUUUAGUUAGGUAGAACGUUUUUAUAAUUGUCUAAUAAUCGUUAAAAUAUUGUUGAAUAAACAGUAACUUCUAUUGCCUUUAGAUAGAUACUAGAAAGUUUUGCCCAUGCAUUGGUGCGGGAUUAAAAAUUGCGUAAAAAAUUAUGUUAAAAAAGUAUAAGGGGUUUGUGUGACAGAAGAUUAAUGCUAUUUGUGUUCACAAUGUUAAGCAAAUUUUCACAUAUGAAAUAUUUUAAUGAUACAAUUUAAUCAGAAAUUGUUUGCAGCCUUCUUCUUUGCAUCAGUGGUUUUGCUAACCUUUCAAAAUUUUAAAAAUAACAAAAACCAACCAUUACUAUUAUGCUUCUUACUGUAAUCAAGUUUCAUGAUUCUAAAUAAAACCAGAGGAACAUAUAAACACAAAAAGAAUAGAGUAAAAAUAUAUCGUUUAAGAGUUUACUUCAUCUUUGAAUACUGAAAGUAAGAAUAUAGAGAGGAAUUUCAGUAUAGAAAAUUUAAAAUAUACCUGCUAAGUAAAGCUACAAUCCUAAGAUGCAUUCAGAAUAAAUUUGAUGUUUUUACAUUGUAUAUCAACGUUUAAAAGCUGUGCAACAAAAAGCAAAACAAAAUUUCACAAAUUAUUGAAAUAAAAUUCAGCAACCAAUUCCCUAAAAGCCGAAAAAGGUGAGAAUAGUGUACAGGUCGAUGUCCAAGUCGUUAUCGAGAGCUUUGGUCACUGAUUCUGGCUACUUGGGUAAAAGAUCUUCAAGAGAAAAGUAGGCAUUUUCACAACUAACCUGAGAAGUGAAUUUGACAUCCAAAAUUGGAAUUUCAAAACCCACCAUAGAAGCAACAUAUGAAAACAACAAAGAAGAAAUCUAGCGAAAGUUAUUUUCUGAUAAGUAUUCUAACAACCAAAGCAAUUUCCAACUUCAACAUUGAAAACGAAAGCCUACAGAGCUUAUCAAUCACUCAUAGUGAUGCUUAGACCCAACAGUUUCUGACGCGACACGGUGACACGACACGAAAACGACACGAAAAUAACGAUUUUCGGGUCAACACGAUAACUUAUCGGGUCAUUAUUGGGUGGUCCGUUAAGAACCCGUUAAUAAUGGGUUCUUAACAGGUAUACACGCAGGUAACACGUGGGUAAUCCGUUUCAACCCACAACAACAACAACAACAACAAAGCCUUUUCCCACUAAGUGGGGUCGGCUAUAUGAAUCCUAGAACGCCAUUGCGCUCGGUUUUGUGUCAUGUCCUCCGUUAGAUCCAAGUACUCUAAGUCUUUUCUUAGAGUCUCUUCCAAAGUUUUCCUAGGUCUUCCUCUACCCCUUCGGCCCUGAACCUCUGUCCCGUAGUCACAUCUUCGAACCGGAGCGUCAGUCGGCCUUCUUUGCACAUGUCCAAAUCACCGGAGCCGAUUUUCUCUCAUCUUUCCUACAAUUUCGGCUACUCCUACUUUACCUCGGAUAUCUUCAUUCCUCAAUCUUAUCCUUUCUCGUGUGCCCACACAUCCCACAAAGCAUCCUCAUCUCCGCUACACCCAUUUUGUGUACGUGUUGAUGCUUCACCGCCCAACAUUCUGUGCCAUACAACAUCGCUGGCCUUAUUGCCGUCCUAUAAAAUUUUCCCUUGAGCUUCAGCGGUCACGGUCACACAACAUGCCGGAUGCACUCUUACACUUCAUCCAUCCAGCUCGUAUUCUAUGGUUGAGAUCUUCAUCUCAAUUCUCCGUUCUCUUGCAAGAUAGAUCCUAGGUAGCGAAAACGGUCGCUUUUUGUGAUCUUCGCUAGAAUUGCUCCGGUCAUUAGUGUGGAUAAGUAUAUAAAUGGAUAGAGAUAGGAAAGCAAACACAAGAUGUACGUGGUUCACCCAGAUUGGCUACGUCCACGGAAUAGAAGAGUUCUCAUUAAUUGUGAAGGGUUUACACAAGUACAUAGGUUCAAGCUCUCCUUUAGUGAGUACAAGUGAAUGAUUUAGUACAAAUGACAUUAGGAAAUAUUGUGGGCGAAUGAUCUCGUAAUCACACGAAACUUCUAAGUAUCGGAGUGUGGUAUCAUCUUGACUUGCCUUAUCUGUCUCAUAGGUAGAUGUGGCAUCUUCUCUGGAAGUACUCUUCCUCCAUCCAGGGGUGAUAUCUUUAACUGGUGGAGAUGCACAAGGUAAUGUAUCAAUUUCACUUGAAGCUUACUUGUAGUUUCAGGCUUGGUCAAGCGCGAUACAAACCAUGUAGUAGGAGUCCCCCAAGUCGCCGAAGCUAGGGGGUCUUGCUGAAAGAGGUGACAGACAAGGUAAGCAAUCAGAGCUCCGACCGAUUGUUCACCUUCUCCCCAUCUUGCAGCAGCAUGAAGAUAAAGAGAAGAAAAAUGAGAAGAGAUGAUAUGAGGAUACUUUUGCUUUUGAAGAAGUAACUUUCCACAGGCUUAUUCUUGAACUGAGCUGGAGGGUUUUCUGGUUUCCUCCAGAGUAUAAGGCCGACUGAAGAAUUUGAGGGUCAAAACAAGUCCAUCAAAUCUAGAGUACGUUUCGACCCUGCUGAUAUGGGAUACUUUUGCUUUUGACAGAGUAAUGGAUGUAUCGGCAUGUGUGCUGUUACGCUUGUCUCCACAUGCUUCCUUGUAUCCUUCGCACUUGCCCUAUCUGUUCCUCAAGCAGAUGCGGAAUCUUCCCUGGAAACAUAAGAUGUUGAAGAUGAGUACUCGAGAGCAAUGCCAGGUAAGUAAUCAGGUAAGGGGUUCCAGGCAGUCAGUUCCUGGCUGGAAGCUUGAUUUCCAAGUGCUGACUGAUUGCUCUCUUUCUCCUUGUCUUGCAGGUAAAAACAAGGCCAAAGGAAAAGACAGGGAAAAAGCAUGAUAUGGGAUACUCUUGCUUUUAACCUUGAUGAUAUGAGAUAUUCUUGCUCUAGUAUAGCUUGUUUGCAGAGGUAUUAUCGGGGGGAAAGAAAGCUGAAUAUUUCGAAAGGCUUCGUUGGGAGUGCCCUCUCAGAUAUGAUGAAGGGUUGAGCAUUUUUGCAGGUCUGCCUGUCCGUUGGGGAUGGAGGUCGACAUAUAUAGGAGUCUCCCUAACAACAAGUAGUAAUGCUAUUCAUUUACCCUGCUUGGUCAUAGCACGGUAGUGGGAGCUGCCAGUUUCACAUGUUUUAACUCUGUCAGAGCACUUUGAAAAAGUGGUCUGUGGUAUCUGGCUCUCGAGAUUCGGAGAGCGAUGCCUUCUUCGAUUUUUGAGAAAGCAAUCAUGAUGGGGGUCUGGCUCUCGAGAUUCGGAGAGCAGUGUCUCUUCGAUUUUUGAGGAAGUAAUCAUGUUGGGAGUCUGGCUCUCGAGAUUCGGAGGGCGGUGCCUCUUCGAUUUUGGAGCAAGCAAUCCUGUUGGGAGUGUUGUCUCGAAUGUGAGUAAAGGUUGGGCAUGUUUGCUAGUCUACCUUGCCCCGAAGCACAAAGGUUGACACACAGGAACUUUGCAAUUAUCUAGCAAUGGUACUGUUCCUUUACCCUCUCUUCGCUUUUGAGAAAGUAGUCAUGUUGGGAGUCUGGCUCUCAAGAUUCGGAGGACGGUGCCUCUUCGAUUUUGGAGCAAGCAAUUUUGUUGGGAGUGUUUUCUCGAAUGUGAGUAAAGGUUGGGCAUGUUUGCUAGUCUACCUUGCCACGAAGCACAGAGGUUGACACACAGGAACUUUCCAAUUAUCCAGCAAUGGUACUGUUCCUUUACCCUUGUGGGUAAUAAUAUGGUAGCUAGACCUUCAAAAUUUAUGUGUCUAAACUUUGUUAGUGCUGUUUCUUUGCUAUUCUUUUACCUUUCUUGGUCAGAGCGAUAUAGUGGGAGCUGCAAGCUUCACGUGCUCAACUUUGGCAGAGAACUUUGACAAAGUUAUCUGUGGUACCCAUGAGCUAUUGUUGCGUGUGGGAAGUGGGUGAUUGAACAGUAAGAUUCAUGUGCUUUCUACUUCACCAGAAGUCUUCGACAGAAUGCCCAUAAUUUCUGCAAAGCUGAGUGUGCGUGUGACAGGUGCUGACAAGGCUAGAAUAGUAGGUGCCUCUUCGAUUUCUGAGAUUGGCCCUCGUGGUCUCUGAGCAGCCCAGCUUUUGAGAAAGCGAGCGCCUCUUCGAUUGAUUUGGAGAACGAUGCCUCUAUCGAUUUUUGAGAAAGCAAUCAUGCUGGGGCUCUGGCUCUUGAAGAUUCGGGGAGCAGUGUCUCUUCGAUUUUUGAGAAAGUAAUCAUGUUGGGAGUCUGGCUCUCGAGAUUCGGAGGGCGGUGCCUCUUCGAUUUUGGAGCAAGCAAUCUUGUUGGGAGUGUUUUCUCGAAUGUGAGUAAAGGUUGGGCAUGUUUGCUAGUCUACCUUGCCACGAAGCACAGAGGUUGACACACAGGGACUUUCCAAUUAUCCAGCAAUGAUACUGUUCCUUUACCCUCUCUUCGAUUUUUAAGAAAGUAGUCAUGUUGGGAGUCUGGCUCUCGAGAUUCGGAGGACGGUGCCUCUUCGAUUUUGGAGCAAGCAAUCUUAUUGGGAGUGUUUUUCUCGAAUGUGAGUAAAGGUUGGGCAUGUUUGCUAGUCUACCUUGCCACGAAGGCACAGAGGUUGACACACAGGGACUUUCCAAUUAUCCAGCAGUGGUACUGUUCCUUUACCCUUGUGGGUAAUAAUAUGGUAGCUAGACCUUCAAAAUUUAUGGGUCUAAACUUUGUUAGUGCUGUUUCUUUGCUAUUCUUUUACCCUUCUUGGUCAGAGCGAUGUAGUGGGAGCUGCAAGCUUCACGUGCUCAACUUUGGCAGAGAACUUUGGCAAAGUUAUCUGUGGUACCCAUGAGCUAUUGUUGCGUGUGGGAAGAGGGUGAUUGAACAGUAAGAUUCAUGUGAGUUUUCUACUUCCCCAGAAGUCUUCGACAGAAUGCCCCAUAAUUUCCGCAAAGCUGAGUGUGCGUGUGACAGGUACUGACAAGGCUGGAAAAGUAGGUGCCUCUUCGAUUUCUGAGAUCGGCCCUCGUGGUCUCUGGGGAGCCCAGCUUUUGAGAAAGCGAGCGCCUCUUCGAGAUCGACCUUCGUGGUCUUAGAGCAGCCCAACUUUUGAGAAAGCAAACGCCUCUUCGAUUUCUGAGCAGGCGCCUCUUCGAUUUCUGAAGCUCCGUCGAGUGCAGAUUUUUAUAGGGGCUGGCAUUAAGUUCCAAAGCACACUUGAAUCUCCACCAGUAGAAGCUUCAUUCUUGCACUUCUAAGAUCUUGAUUUGUCCGACCUCUUCUCUCUUCAACACCUUUGAAAAUGUCUGGCCCCUCCGACCGUCGUUUUGACUUGAACCUUGUUGAAGAGGCAGCCCCGCCUUCUCCAGACAACAUAUGGCGCCCAUCCUUCGUCUCCCCUACUGGUCCUCUUACCGUUGGGGAUUCCGUGAUGAAGAAUGAUAUGACCGCUGCGGUGGUGGCCAGGAACCUUCUCACCCCAAAAGAUAACAGACUACUUUCCAAACGGUCUGAUGAGUUAGCUGUUAAGGAUUCGCUGGCUCUCAGUGUUCAGUGUGCAGGUUCUGUGUCUAAUAUGGCCCAACGCCUAUUUGCUCGAACCCGCCAAGUUGAAUCAUUGGCGGCUGAAGUGAUGAGUCUCAAACAGGAGAUUAGAGGGCUCAAGCAUGAGAAUAAACAGUUGCACCGGCUCGCACAUGACUAUGCUACAAACAUGAAGAGGAAGCUUGACCAGAUGAAGGAAACUGAUGGUCAGGUUUUACUUGAUCAUCAGAGAUUUGUGGGUUUGUUCCAAAGGCAUUUAUUGCCUUCGUCUUCUGGGGCUGUACCGCGUAAUGAAGCUCCGAAUGAUCAACCUCUGAUGCCUCCUCCUUCUAGGGUUCUGUCCAGUACUGAAGGCUCCAAAUGAUCCCCCUCCGGUGCCUUCUCUUUCUGGGGCUCUACCGACUGCUGAGACUUCUCCUAAGCAACCUUUGUGAAGGCUCCCUCUUGUGUGUUUAUUUUGACUCAUGUAUAUGUACAUAUUUGUAGCUUAUCGGGGAUAUCAAUAAAUAAGCUUUCCUUCAUUUCAACUUAUUGUGUUAAAUACACCAAAGCCUUCUUCGCUAAGUUCUUUGAAUUUUCUUUUGUUGAAGCUUGUAUGUUGAAGCUUUCUUAGUGGAGCAUGUAGGUUGGGGUAGUGUUCCCUUAAUUUCCCGAGUGAGGAAAACUUCUCGGUUGGAGACUUGGAAAAUCCAAGUCACUGAGUGGGAUCGGCUAUAUGAAUCUUAGAACGCCAUUGUGCU
rnacentral:lncRNA from 1 species